CAAUAAGCGGAGAAAAGAAACCAACAGGGAUUGCCUUAGUAACGGCGAGUGAAGCGGCAAAAGCUCAAAUUUGAAAUCUAGUACUUUCAGUGCUCGAGUUGUAAUUUGAAGAAGGUAACUUUGGUGUUGGCCCUUGUCUAUGUUCCUUGGAACAGGACGUCACAGAGGGUGAGAAUCCCGUGCGAUGAGGUGUCCAAUACUAUGUAAAGUGCUUUCGAAGAGUCGAGUUGUUUGGGAAUGCAGCUCUAAGUGGGUGGUAAAUUCCAUCUAAAGCUAAAUAUUGGCGAGAGACCGAUAGCGAACAAGUACAGUGAUGGAAAGAUGAAAAGAACUUUGAAAAGAGAGUGAAAAAGUACGUGAAAUUGUUGAAAGGGAAGGGUUUGAGAUCAGACUUGGUAUUUUGCAAUCCUUUCCUUCUCGGGGAGGUUUCUUAGCAGCUUACCGGGCCAGCAUCGGUUUGGAUGGUAGGAUAAUGACAUUGGAAUGUAGCUCUUCGGAGUGUUAUAGACUUUGUUGAUACUGCCUAUCUAGACCGAGGACUGCGUCUUUGACUAGGAUGCUGGCGUAAUGAUCUUAAACCGC
rnacentral:rRNA from 1 species